AGAGUGAACGCUGGCGGCAGGCCUAAUACAUGCAAGUCGAACGGCAGCACGGCAGAGCUUGCUCUGUGGGUGGCGAGUGGCGGACGGGUGAGGAAUACAUGGGAAUCUGCCCAGUCGUGGGGGAUAACGUAGGGAAACUUACGCUAAUACCGCAUGCGCCCUUCGGGGGAAAGCCGGGG
rnacentral:rRNA from 1 species